rnacentral:rRNA from 1 species
UACGUAGGGCGCAAGCGUUGUCCGGAAUUAUUGGGCGUAAAGAGCUCGUAGGCGGUCUGUCGCGUCGGCUGUGAAAACCCGAGGCUCAACCUCGGGCCUGCAGUCGAUACGGGCAGACUAGAGUGCUGUAGGGGAGACUGGAAUUCCUGGUGUAGCGGUGAAAUGCGCAGAUAUCAGGAGGAACACCGGUGGCGAAGGCGGGUCUCUGGGCCGACACUGACGCUGAGGAGCGAAAGCGUGGGGAGCGAACAGG